rnacentral:misc_RNA from 1 species
AAAUGCGAUAAGUAAUGUGAAUUGCGGAAUUCAGUGAAUCAUCGAAUCUUUGAACGCACAUUGCGCCCGCCAGUAUUCUGGCGGGCAUGCCUGUUCGAGCGUCAUUACAACCCUCAGGCCCCCGGGCCUGGCGUUGGGGAUCGGCGGAAGCCCCCUGCGGGCACAACGCCGUCCCCCAAAUACAGUGGCGGUCCCGCCGCAGCUUCCAUUGCGUAGUAGCUAACACCUCGCAACUGGAGAGCGGCGCGGCCACGCCGUAAAACACCCAACUUCUGAAUGUUGACCUCGAAUCAGGUAGGAAUACCCGCUGAACUUAAGC